UGGGGAAUAUUGCGCAAUGGGGGGAACCCUGACGCAGCCAUGCCGCGUGAAUGAAGAAGGCCUUAGGGUUGUAAAGUUCUUUCGGUAUUGAGGAAGGUUGAUGUGUUAAUAGCACAUCAAAUUGACGUUAAAUACAGAAGCAGCACCGGCUAACUCCGUGCCAGCAGCCGCGGUAAUACGGAGGGUGCGAGCGUUAAUCGGAAUAACUGGGCGUAAAGGGCACGCAGGCGGUUAUUUAAGUGAGGUGUGAAAGCCCCGGGCUUAACCUGGGAAUUGCAUUUCAGACUGGGUAACUAGAGUACUUUAGGGAGGGGUAGAAUUCCACGUGUAGCGGUGAAAUGCGUAGAGAUGUGGAGGAAUACCGAAGGCGAAGGCAGCCCCUUGGGAAUGUACUGACGCUCAUGUGCGAAAGCGUGGGGAGCAAACAGGAUUAGAUACCCUGGUAGUCCACGCUGUAAACGCUGUCGAUUUGGGGGUUGGGGUUUAACUCUGGCGCCCGUAGCUAACGUGAUAAAUCGACCGCCUGGGGAGUACGGCCGCGAGGUUA
rnacentral:rRNA from 1 species